GCCGGGCGUGGUGGCUCAUGCCUGUAAUCCCAGCACUAUGGGAGGCCGAGGCGGGCGGAUCACCUGAGGUCAGGAGUUCAAGACCAGCCUGGCCAACAUGGUGAAACCCCGCCUCUA
rnacentral:SRP_RNA from 1 species